rnacentral:rRNA from 1 species
ACCCGCUGAAUUUAAGCAUAUCACUAAGCGGAGGAAAAGAAACUAACCAGGAUUCCCCUAGUAACGGCGAGUGAAGAGGGAGAAGCCCAGCACCGAAGCCUGUGGUAGUGUUACUGCUAGGCAAUGUGGUGUUUGGGUCGGCUCGUGGGAUUGCCACUCCGUUCGAAGUCCAGCAUUGAGUAUGGUACCCUGGAUUUGGCCCAUAGAGGGUGAAAGGCCCGUGCGAAUGGAAGUUUCAGAUAUGAAAGGCGAUUCACCAGGCCGGCCUUAGAGUCGGGUUGUUUGAGAAUGCAGCCCAAAGUGGGUGGUAAACUCCAUCCAAGGCUAAAUACUAGCACGGGUCCGAUAGCGAACAAGUACCGUGAGGGAAAGUUGAAAAGUACUCUGAAGAGAGAGUAAACAGUACGUGAAACCGCAUAAAGGUAAACGGGUGGCGUCAAGCUGCAAGCCUGGAGGAUUCAGCUGGUCAUUAUGUAGGGUAUACGCCCUGUGUAUCGCAGUCGGUGAUAGUGAGUAGUCUGCUGGUAAACGGCGGGCCUGGUCGCAAGGCUAGGAUGUACGUUCCACGUGUUCGGUGGUGUACGCUGCUCGGCUAUUGGACUGGAUGGCCAGUGCACUUUCUCCAUUAAGGUGAACACCACGACCGGUGGAACUGCCAGUCUGGUAUAGCCAAGUUGUGUCUAUUCCGGCAUUCGUGUGGAUUAGGCUCAAUCACAGGCAGAUUCGGUGGACGGUGAGUGGACUUCGGUUUGCUCAUGUUAUCGGUCACUGGCUGUCAACGGGUUUGUCCGCUGAGGUUGCAGUCCUUGGUGGGUGGCCUGGUGGGCUAUUCUGGUAAGAAUAACUGUGCAGGGCACCGGAGUUGUCGGUCUCUAAUCCGGUUGAUACACGCGCUGCAGGUGUGUGUGGAGGUGCCAUUGCGGCCUGUCGUUGGUUGGGUCUGAUUGCCGUGUCGCCUGCGAAAAGUAGGUCCGGUAGUGGCUCGGCUACGGUCGGUGCAUGUAGUGGUGCUUCUCUGUCAAUCGGUGUGGGCCCAACAGUCUGUGGUGUAGUGGUAGACGAGCUACCCGACCCGUCUUGAAACACGGACCAAGGAGUUUAACAUACACGCGAGUCAUUGGGGACUUCCGAAACCCACAGGCGCAAUGAAAGUGAAGCCUCCUUUUGGAGGUGUGGUGAGAUCCUGCUGUUACUCGCAUCUGCACUCUUGUGUAGCUUGUCGGCACAGGGCGCAAAGAGCGGUGGGCGCAUCACCGGCCCGUCUCAUGAUGUGGUCAUUGGUCGGUUGCUGUGGUUGUGGUUUCGGCUGCGGCUGCAGUAGCUCCAGUGCGUCAUCGGGGCGGAGCAUGAGCGUGUAUGUUGAGACCCGAAAGAUGGUGAACUAUGCUUGCGUAGGUUGAAGCCAGAGGAAACUCUGGUGGAGGACCGAAGCGAUUCUGACGUGCAAAUCGAUCGUCAAACGUGAGUAUAGGGGCGAAAGACUAAUCGAACCAUCUAGUAGCUGGUUCCCUCCGAAGUUUCCCUCGGAUAGC